AACCCAAAUUAAUUAGCACUCGGCGUAAAACGUGUAUAUUUAAAUAACCGGAAUAGAAUUAAAAAUCAACUAAUAUGUGAAAAUUGAUCGUUGUAAUUAAAAUCACUGACGAAAGUAAUUCUAAUUUGCCAACUACACGACAGCUAAGAUCCAAACUGGGAUUAGAUACCCCACUAUGCUUAGCCUUAAACCUCAAUAAUUAUUAAACAAAAUUAUUUGCCAGAGAACUACUAGCCACAGCUUAAAACUCAAAGGACUUGGCGGUACUUUAUAUCCACCUAGAGGAGCCUGUUCUAUAAUCGAUAAACCCCGUUAUACCUCACCACCCCUUGCUAAUC
rnacentral:rRNA from 1 species